rnacentral:lncRNA from 1 species
CCAAUUGCUGAUUAUAGACCAAAGUUAACGUUCAAAUCCUCAUAUACAUCCAGCAAAAUAAUAAUGAUAAUCCACAAUGAUAGAAAAUCCCAAGAAGAAUUGGAGAAUUAGGCGUUUAAGCUUUUUUCUACGUUGGAAUCUCCCUCAACGUGUAAACCCCAGUUCCUACUAUGAAAAUACGUAAAAAUUAAUCAAAGAUACGUCUGACACCAGUCAGAUAUCAUUUUAAUCAAUUAUAACCCUUUUAAUUAAAAAUUAAAAUAAAUAAAUCAGCAGCUUCAGGCAUCGCGCGCGGCCUCGCGACCCUCAAGUGUAAUCCUCGCGCGGGCGCGCGACUUGCAGUGUGUAAUGUUGUCCAGCCGGGUGCGUUUCUGCAACUUUAAAUUCUGGUUCUGCUGCUGCAACUGAUCUGUUAUGCUGCUCCUUCCUUUGUCCAUCCAUGCUUAGUCUUCUGCUCCGCUUGAUCCUCAUGCCACGCAUCUACCAGCUUGUGCCUCGCUUCAUGCGUCCAUUAGCCUCGUGCCCUCUAAUACCACCAAAUUAGGCCGUUUCCUGCACUUUUUUCACCAAAAGGAGUUUUAAGUAAAUGCAAUACAAAAUAACAUGAAAUGCAACUAAAAACUCACUAAAAUGUACUUGAGAUGGGCAUAGUUCGCGUGAAUUGGUAUUCAAUAAGUAUGUAUAAAACCCACUUAUCAAUGAGUUAAUACCUUGUUGGGCAAGUUUUUAGUUUCCAACUUGCUAUCAGUUAAUGUAUGUUCAGUAAUUUCAAUUCUAAUGUUAUAAGACUCUAACCUUAGCUUAUUUACUGUUCAAGCAAAGGAUAUCCAUUUUAUUCAUUUUAUUGAAUACUUAUGCUCUAUAGUUAUUUCAAGCAUGAGUUUAAUAUGCAUAAUCAGUUCAUUUAUGAUUCUCAAUUGUUCUAUGUUAUAUUGUUAUUAAACAUCUGUUGUGAUUAUCAAACACUAUUGAUUCAACUAGUCCUCUAGUUGAUGUUCGUUAAACUUCAAAUUUCCCUUGAAAGCUUAUCCAAACCAAACUUUCUUUGGUGCGGACUUGUACUCUAAAUACUGAGGUGAACAACCCUAUUAUUAAUAGGGGAUAACUUACGCGUAGCUUUAAAAUGUUUGUGCACAAUACAUUGUACGAAGGGCUGAUCCCCCUAAGUACGAGGAGUCCUUAUAGUCUUAUGACUGUUAAAGUUGGAGUUGAAAGAUUACUCGCAACUGUGGACAUGGUUCAUGUUCUUAUGACCCUCAGUUAUGUAUAUUCCAUAUUUUGGAUUCCAGUUCUGAUUAUCAUUAUUAGAGUACUAUUCAGUCUUGAUGAGCCUAUUGUUGACGGUUAUUAUUAUUAUUCUCCUGUUGAUUCAUUGUUAUAUUUAGUGAGCAAUUAUUUUGCUCACUCUUGCAUAUUUAUAAACUCAUUGCAGCUAAAGUUGAGAAGGUAGAUGAGCCUUCAACUAGCAAAGAAAAGGGAAAAAUGUACAAGUGAUGCUGAUUUGUACUUUUGAUUUCUGUUAUGAUCAUAGACUUUUUAAUAAUGAUGUAAUGUAAUAAUUUAAUUCCGCACUUGAAUGAUGUUUAAAGGUUAGAUAACAUGGGAUUGUUUUGAAUUUAAUGGUGUAACCCUAUUUAAAGGGAGGAUUAUGGCUUAAAUAAUAUUUAUUUUGGUAGAUAGUAUGAAUGUAUGGAUAGUGAGCACCAAAUCUCGUGAGAAUGAAGUACCUAGAUUUGGGGGUGUCACAGGUUGGUAUCAAAGCCUUAGGUUAUGAACCUUAGGUGGGGAAAAGCCUUAGGAAGUAACCUUUGAAAAGAUAGUGAUGAUGAACUCUUAUCGAGUUUUAAGGAAGAAGUAAUAAAAUACUUAUGUGCUUAUGCGAUUAUAACUUAUGUGCUCGUGAGUGACGAGUAGUAAUGGUUAGUAAUUCAAACUUAAAAUUUGAUUGACAAGAUGGCUAAUGUAGGAGGAUCCAGUCAGGCUAGAGAGGAGGAGCCUCAAGAUAUUCAGGUGAUUUGGGAAGAACUACUGCCACGGGAAAUAGUUCCGUCGGUCACAGUAGUUGAGCAGGAGAGAGUACCUGAUGAGGAUGAUGAGAUAGAGACGGAUGAAGAGGACCCCGUGGAGCUGCCACAGUUGGGGGAUGAGGAGGACGAGGAGGAAGAGCUUUCACUUAACUCGAUAGAUGCCCGUAUGUAUGACGAGGUGUAUGAUCGCAAUGUGGAACUUCAAGAUACCGUCGAGGAGUUACAGGAGAUAGUAGCUAAACAACAGACCUCGAUGGCACAGAAGGACGAUGAGAUCCAAGAUCGAGAAGAAUGACUGAACAACGUUGAAGAGAAGCUGGUCCACACUGAAGGAGAAAAUGAGGGAAUGAUAGCAGAGAUUUCAGAGUUGAAGAACAAGUUGAAAGAAGAAUCUACAAAAAGGGCAAGAGCUGAAGACGCAUACAAUGAAGCUUAUCAACGAGCCGGAAUGGCAGAGAGAGACGCACAAGCAAAGAGGAGGAAGAUGGAAGAGAUGAACAACGUAUUCAACACCGUGAUCAAUCGAGCUCAAGAUCGAGUCAUGGGUUAUCCGAUUCAGUUCGAGACGCUACCCUCAUACAUAUUGGAUCGCCGAACAAUGUUCUGAAUUAUGGAGGAAGAGCGUCAUAAGGCUACGCAGUAUCUUAGUAGGACAUUGUAGAGAAUGUAAUUGAUAUGUGAUUAGAAAAUAAACGAAAUGUAAAUCCCGGGUAUGAUAUAACCAAUGGGAUAAAUGAUGAUGAUGUUGUCCUGCAACUUUUAUAGUUCAGGAAAAGUAAUGUAAAUAGCAGUGAUGCUAUUGUUCUGAUGUUUUUUUUAAGAUGAUGAAUGAAUAAAAGUUAUUGCUUUAUUCAAGGUGUUAAGUGUUAUGUGAUAAACUUUUAUGAUGUGAAACUUAAGUAUAUAAUACUUAAAAGGUUGAAUAAAGGCUAAUGGAUGUAUUUUAGCAGAAAAUGCCUCCAAGUUGUCAACCACCACGACAGAAAAUCGUUGAGGAAAACAACAACAACAACAACAACAAUGUUGAAGGAAACCCAGUUCAGCAGCUAGUGACGUUACUGACGGGUGCUUUGCAGAAUCAACCUCAGAACCAAGGUACUACGUUUAAGGAUUCAAGGCGGUUGGACCACCAGAAUUCCGUGGGUCUAUGAAUCCAAUUGAAGCACAGACUUGGAUCAUGGAAAUUGAGAAGGUUUUUGAUGUUUCUAGGGUAGAAGAUAAUCAGAAGUUUUGCAACAUUCAUAUUGAAAGUAGAGGCUAGUUAUUGGUGGCAGGCCAACAAAACUCAGGAAGGACCAGGAGUGAUGACCUGGGAUAGGUUUAAGGAGUUGUUCUUCGAGACCUAUUUCCCAGAGAGUUCGAAGAGUCAGCUAGAGGUUCAGUUUUUGGAACUAAAGCAGGGAAUGAUGUCGGUGUCGGAGUAUGCCGCAAGAUUCAACGAGUUGGCGAGAUUUGCGCCAUAUCAAGUCAGCACAGACAAACGCAAGGCGAAGAGGUUUGAACAGGGACUGAAGCCCUGGUUGUACAGUAAGGUCUCCCUGUUCCAGCUGAAGACGUUUGCAACAGUGAUGGAGAAAGCAAUUCUCGCUGAGAGUAGAGGCGAGGCUGUAACAAAACACAAUCAAGAGCAAAGGAAGAAGAAAAGUGAAGGUGAAGUUAAGAGUGGUGGUAGUAGUGGCGGAAAUGGUAACAAUUUGAAGAGGAAGUGGAAUGCGAAUGGGGGAGCUGGAAAUCAGCCAAGAAACUAGCAAAAUAAGAAGUUUAAUGCAUGUGCUACAUGUGGGAAAUUUCACAAGGGUGUGUGCUUGAUGGGGAAACGAGUAUGUUUCAAUUGUGGCCAGGAGGGUCACAUCGCCCCAAAUUGCACUCAACCUAAGAAGAACGUUUGUUUCACGUGCGGGUCCAAGGAUCACUUUGCUCAUGAAUGCCCUAAGAAGAGAUCUGGUGAGACAAAUGGGAGCAAAGGAAAUGCUAGUGGAGGUGCGCUGGCUAUUGCAGGACCAACGUCAACAAAUAAGCCCACAGCCAGAACCUUUAACAUGACGGUGCAGGACGCAGUGAAAUCAAAAGAUGUUGUGUCAGGUAUUAUCCCAAUCCAUGAUAUAAAUGCAUAUGUAUUAUUUGAUUCGGGUGCUACUUGCUCGUUUAUAUCUGAUGAGUUUGCUAAGAAGUUAGAAAUACCUAGUGAAGAGCUGAAAUUCCCUGUAAACAUAGAAAUUGUGAAUAGAGAAGUGAUUCAUGUUAGGUUCGUAUACAAGGACUGUAGGAUGAAUAUAAAGGGGAAUGUCAUGAAAGUAGAUUUAAUCCCGAUAAAACUCAGAGAGUUCGAUGUUAUUUUGGGAAUGGAUUGGCUGUUCAAUUAUGGAGCAAUAAUUGAUUGUCAAAAGAAGUGUGUAAACCUUAUGACUCCGUCAAAGGUAGUUUUUCAUGGUAGCAAAUUGCCUAGACAAAUAAAAUGUCUGACGAUGAUGCAGGCCAAGAAGUUAUUGAAUCAGGGCUGUGUAGAGUAUCUAGCUUACAUAGUCGAUACUCAAAAGGAGAAGGGUGUGAAAUUGGAGGAAAUACCGGUGGUUAGGGAGUUCGUGGAUGUGUUUCCGAAGGAUUUUCCAGGACUUCCACCUGACAGAGAAAUCGAGUUCGUGAUCGACUUAGCGCCAGGAACCGCUCCUAUAUCGAAGGCCCCGUACAGAAUGGCUCCGGUGAAGAUGAAGGAACUCAUGGUGCAACUACAAGAACUGUUAGACAAGAAGUAUAUUCAACCGAGUGGGGAGCCCCGGUGUUAUUCGUGAAAAAGAAGGAUGGGUCAAUGCGUCUUUGCAUUGAUUAUAGGGAAUUGAACAAAGUCAUUAUUAAGAACAAAUAUCCAUUGCCAAGAAUAGAUGACUUGUUUGAUCAGUUGAAGGGUGCUAGAUAUUUCUCGAAAAUAGAUUUGAGAAGUGGAUAUCACCAAUUGAAAGUAAGGAAAGAGGAUGUACUGAAGACAGCAUUCCUAACUAGGUAAGGACAUUACGAAUUUUUAGUGAUGUCAUUUGGUUUGACAAACGCCCCUACAGCGUUCAUGGAUUUGAUGAGCAGGGUGUUUAAACCAUUUUUGGAUAAAUUUGUGGUGGUGUUCAUCGAUGAUAUUUUGAUGUACUCUAAAACUCAAGAGGAACAUGUGGAACACUAACGUAUGACGUUGGAGACGUUAAGAAAGGAAAAGUUGUACGCGAAAUUCUCUAAAUGUGAAUUUUGGCUGGAACGUGUACAAUUUCUUGGGCAUGUAAUCGAUAAGGAUGGGAUUUCCAUGGAUCCAUCAAAAGUCGAAGCUAUGAUAAAUUGGGAACAACCAAGAACUCCAUCAGAAGUAAGAAGUUUCUUGGGAUUGGCAGGCUAUUACAGAUGGUUUAUUCAGGAUUUUUCCAAGAUUGCCACUCCGUUGACAAAUUUGACAAGAAAAUCUAUAAAAUUUGUUUGGACGAAGAAGUGUGAAGAAAGUUUUCAAGAAUUGAAGAAGAAGCUCAGUGUGGCACCUGUGUUGUCAUUACCAGAUAAUACAGGAAAUUUUGUGGUGUAUAGUGAUGCAUCACACAAAGGAUUGGGUUGUGUCCUUAUGCAGAACGGCAAGGUUAUUGUAUAUGCAUCAAGGCAACUGAAAGACUACGAAAAAGGGUAUCCGACUCAUGAUUUAGAGUUGGCGGUGGUUGUGUUCGCACUGAAGAUAUGGAGACACUACCUCUAUGGAGAGAAAUGUAAGAUAUACACAGACCAUAAAAGCCUAAAGUAUAUUUUCACACAGAAAGACCUGAACAUGCGGCAAAGGAGAUGGAUGGAAUUGAUAAAGGAUUACGAUUGUGAGAUCUUUUAUCAUCCAGGCAAAGCAAACAUGGUUGCAGAUGCCUUGAGUAAGAAAGGCAGAGAAAAGUUGAUGUUCUUAACUAAUAAGGAGGAGCUCAUUUCAGCAAUGGCAAUGUUAGAGCUGGAAAUCAAAUUUCCAGAAGAAUCUGAUGAAAAAUUGUUCCAGAUAGAAGCUAGUCCAACUUUGGUGGACAAAGUGAAAAACGCUCAGCUACAGGAUGAAGAAUGCAAGAAAAUAAAGCAAAGUAUAGUUGAGGGUAAAGAAGCGAAGUACCGGGUCGAUACUAUGGGAAUUCUAAGAUUCGAGGGACGAAUUUGGGUUCCAGCAGUUCAGGAUAUUAAAGAAGAAAUCUUGACGGAAGCACAUAGCUCGAGAUAUUCAAUUCAUCUGGGAAAUACGAAAAUGUAUCAAGAUUUGCAGCGUCAUUUUUGGUGGCCGAACAUGAAAAGAGAUGUUGUAGAAUGCGUUGCAAAGUGCUUGACAUGUCAGAAAGUGAAGGUCGAGCAUCAAAGACCAAGAGGAUUACUUCAACCGUUGGAGAUACCGGAAUGGAAGUGGGAGCAUAUUACAAUGGAUUUUGUGGUAGGUCUUCCAACGACUCAAAAAGGAUACGAUGCGAUAUGGGUGAUAGUGGACAGGUUAACAAAAUCUGCACACUUUUUGCCAAUAAAGAUUAGAUUUAAUCUUGAUCAGCUAGCGAAGCUAUACGUUAAGGAGAUCAUUUCAAGACAUGGAGUUCUAGUGUCAAUUGUAUCAGACAUAGAUCCGAGGUUUACAUUAAAUUUCUAGAAGAGACUACAAGAAUGCAUGGGAAUGUAAUUGAAGAUGAGCACAGCAUAUCAUCCACAAACUGAUGGGCAAAGCGAAAGAACGAUCCAAACGCUUAAAGAUAUGCUCAGAGCGUGCAUCAUGGUUUUCAAAGGAAAUUGGGAUGCUCAUCUACCAUUGGUGGAAUUUGCAUACAACAACAGUUACCAUGCAAGUAUUGGUAUGCCGCCAUACGAGGCGUUAUAUGGCAGAAAGUGCAGAACUCCACUAUGCUGGGAUGAAGUUGGAGAACGGCAAUUGUUAGGCCCAGAACUAGUUCAGCAGACUGCUGAAGUUGUUAAACUCAUCAGAGCAAGACCGGUAGCUGCUCAAGAUCGACAGAAAAAGUAUGUUGAUCAACAUAGGCAGAGUCAUGAAUUUGAAGCAGGAAGUUUCAUGCUCCUAAAAGUCUCUCCUUGGAAGGAAAAAAUUCAUUUUGGCAAGAAAGGAAAGCUCAGCCCAAGGUUUAUUGGACCUUUCGAAAUUCUACGAAAAGUGGGAGAGGUGGCUUACGAAGUAGCUUUACCUCCAGAAUUAGAGCAUGUACACAACGUUUUUCAUGUGUCGGUGUUGCGACCAUAUAAACCCAAUUAUAAGCAUGUGAUCGAGUAUGAACCAUUGUAGUUCAGUAAAGAUUUAUCUUAUGAAAAGAUUCCUAUCCAAAUAGUCGACAGGAAGGAACAAGUGCUCAGGAAUAAAGUGAUACCUUCUGUGAAGGUGAUAUAGAGGAACCACAAUGUCGAAGAGGCUACGUGGGAACUCAAAGCUGAUAUGAUGAAGAAUUAUCCUGAGUUAUUUGUUUAGUCUGUGUCUCCGAUUCUGGGGACAAAAUCUUUGUAAGUAGGGGAGAAUGUGACGAUUUGAUUGUUUGAAUUGUGAUUAUCGGGACAGAAUCCUUGUAAGGGGGGAAGGAUGUAACGAUUCGAAAUUUUAAAUUGUAAUUUAAAUAUUUAUUGAGUUAUAUAAAUAUUAUUUAAGGUGUUAAAUAUUUUAUUGACGUAAUGGUUGAUGAAUUUAAAUGUAUUAGAGAAUUUUUCUAAAUUAAAUUAAUUUAUAAUUUAGAGAGCUGUAAAAUAACAUGAGAUGUUAUACUGUUGUUUUGAUUUAAUAAUUUUAAUGAUAUAUUAAAUUAUUAAAUAAAGUUAUAAUAAAAAUUAUAAAUUUGUGAUAUUUGUUAAAAUGCUAUAUUUAAUUAAAAUAUAGUAUGUGAUUAGUGUAAUGGGUUAGUGUUGGAUAUAAAAAUUCAAAUAAAUAAUAUGUGAUUAUAAUUAUAAACUAAAGUGUUUAUGUAAACAAACUAAAAGGGUUUAAUUUAGUUUUUGCCAAACAAGGCUUAAAAGUAUUUUAAUUCUUUAAAUUUAAAGGGUUUUUGCCAAACAAGCCUUAUGGCUUUUGGAAUUUCUAAUUUUUGAAAAUAAAUAAUAUAAAUAAAAUAAGUAAAAUAAUAAAUAUAAUAUAUUUAUAUUAUAUACAUUAGUAACUGAUUUUGCAAUUAGUAGUGUUACUAAGGGUUAUCAGUUUUAUUCUUGCACUUGAAUACCAGUUGAUUUUCUUAUUACGCAUUCUAUUUUCCAAGCUUGAGAGUUCAGAGAAUUGAGUGAGUUUGAGAGCUUCAGAGAAAAUUGAGAGAGUCUUAAGAAUUUUCAGAGCAAAUUCCAGUGAGUUUAGCAAGAAUUUCUGUUAAGUAACAAAAGGUAUGUUCCAUAAUCUCUAUAUUAUAAGCAUGUAUAUGUGUUUGACGGCAAAAUUCUAUAUACUCUGUGAAUCCAAAUUCUCUUGGCUUGUUGUAGAAACUGAGUUGUUGCAAUUUAUGUGUAAUUUAUAAUACUAGAGUUUAUGGCUAAACCAGAAUACGUAUGCUAAUUACAGUUAAUAGUAGAAAAAAUUUGUCAGUAUAUAUGUUUUCAUAUGUAAGUAUCAAUUUUAGUGGCCAAUUCAUGAGUGAAACUGUAAGAUGCUUGUAUAUGGUAGUUCAUUGAGAUACGACAAUUUUAGUUCAUUGUAAUGUGUCCAACAUGUAACAUCAAGGCUAAAACAGAGUUGUGUUAUGGGGUUAGUGAAUUCAAAGUGGUAAAAAUGAUUAAUAAAUUUCGAACGCAUUAUGUGAUAACUUAGUAUACACAAUGAAUGUUAGGCAAGUGUUGCGAAGUAAACACUUAGAAUUUCUGAAAUAUAAAUGGUAAAGAAAGACUUGUGCUAAAAUGGUAAGUUUAGCUAGAAAUGUACAUGUUAUGGUAUGUUAGCAUAUCUAAUAGAUAAUGUGGUUCUAAACCAAUGUGUAGGUGAACGUGAGUUUAAUAUUGUAGCUUACGCUCGAGGCAAGUUUCUAAACCCUAUCUUUUUACAUUGAGAAAGUUUUCUAACUCUACACUUUUGUUGAGUUAAUUUUAUUACUAUAUUGUGCAACUUUAUUCUUUUGAUUGAGCAAGCUUAUUAUCUUAACUGUUAUUGAAUAAGUCAAUUGUUCCUAAUAUUCAUUCGAGCAAACUUUAACUCUAAUGUUAUUUGAAAUUCUCAUUUGAUAGAUUCAUUCUAACUUGUUUAUAGUUAAGCAAGUUUCUUAAGUUCUAUUAUUGUAUAAUGAACGCAGUUUUUGAACUCUCGUCCCUAUUAUUGAACUGUUUUAAUUCUUUGCAUGAGUUAAUACCUUAUUGGGUAAGUUUUUAGUUUCUAGCUUGCUAUCAGUUUAUGUACGUUCAGUUAUUUCAAUUCUAAUGUUAUAAGACUCUAACCUUAGCUUAUUUACUGUUCAAGCAAAGGUUAACCAUUUUAUUCAUUCUAUUGAAUACUUAUGCUCUAUAGUUAUUUCAAGCAUGAGUUUAAUAUGUAUAAUCAGUUCAUUUAUGAUUCUUAAUUGUUUUAUGUUAUAUUGUUAUUAAACAUCUGUUGUGAUUAUCAAACACUAUUGAUUCAACUAGUCCUCUAGUUGAUGUUCGUUAAACUUCAAAUUUCCCUUGAAAGCUUAUCCAAACCAAACUUUCUUUGCUGCGGACUUGUACUCUAAAUACUGAGAUGAACAACCCUAUUAUUAAUAGGGGAUAACUUACGCAUAGCGUUAAAAUGUUUGUGCACAAUACAUUGUACGAAGGGCUGAUCCCCCUAAGUAUGAGGAGUCCUUAUAGUCUUAUGACUGUUAAAGUUGAAGUUGAAAGAUUACUCGCAACUAUGGACAUGGUUCAUGGUCUUAUGACCCUCAGUUAUGUAUAUUCCAUAUUUUGGAUUCCAGUUCUGAUUAUCAUUAUUAGAGUACUAUUCAGUCUUGAUGAGCCAAUUGUUGGCAGUUAUUAUUAUUAUUCUCCUGUUGAUUCAUUGUUAUAUUCAGUGAGCAAUUGUUUUGCUCACUCUUGCAUAUUUAUAAACUCAUUGCAACUAAAGUUGAGAAGGUAGAUGAGCCUUCAACUAGCAAAGGAAAGGGAAAAUGUACAAGUGAUGCUGAUUUGUACUUUUGAUUUCUGUUAUGAUCAUAGACUUUUUAAUAAUGAUGUAAUGUAAUAAUUUAAUUCCGCACUUGAAUGAUGUUUGAAGGUUAGAUAACCUGGGAUUGUUUUGAAUUUAAUGGUGUAACCCUAUUUAAAGGGAGGAUUAUGGCUUAAAUAAUAUUUGUUUGGGCAGAUAGUAUGUAUGAAUGUAUGGAUAGUGAGCACCAAAUCUAGUGGGAAUGAAGUACCUAGAUUUGGGGGUGUCACAAUUAUGGCAAGUUCCUGGAUUUCCAAAGUGUGGUAUGUUUGAUUAACUAUAUUGGGUAGAAAACGGUUAUAGUAUAGAGAGCAUUGAUGAAGUUGAAGAUUGAUAGAAUGGUUAAGUAAUAAAUUAAUGAUGUAAAAUUAGAGGUUGAAUGUAUUGUUAACAACCAAAGUCGAGAAUUAAAUUGUAUGAAUUUUGGGGUCGUUAUAGAUGAAAUAGAUGAACUAAUUUGGGCCAGCUAGAAAAAAACAAUUAAUAACAAAAGAUUAUAAUAUUUAUCAUUAUUAAAAUUAUAAAUACUAACAAUAGAGAGUGGUAAGAAUAUCAAAGGUUGGACCAUUGAAUAAUACUUCCUCCAUCCCAUAAUAUAUUAUGUUUUAGAGUUAUACAUAAGAAUUAAAAAAAUAAUUGUAUAAUAUUAAAUAUGAUAUUAAUUAUCUGAAGUACCUUUAAAUUCUCAUAAUUACCAUACUUAUCUCAUACUUUCGCAUCUAUAAUAUUUUUCUAUGAGAAGUAAUUUUAGAAUAAUUUUUAUUAAUUCUUUCAUAUUAUAUAAAACUUUAAAUAAUUUUAAAAGAAUAAAAUAAUCUAAAAUAUUAUAUAAUAUAUUAUAGGACGAAGUAGUAAUAAUGAUUUUGUAGGAGAUGUGUACAAACACUUGUAUUCUCAAUACAAAUACAUGUAUUGUCUAAAUAAUUAUAUUUCAAGGACAAUUCGAGUUGACUCACUACAUGGACACAAACAAUCUUCCAGUUAUAAUUAGCACUAUGUUUUUUAAGAAUUCGGUUAACAUGAAGUUUAUUUUUUGGUAAGUUGGUCGAUUGGUCAGUAAAAUGCUGACACAUAGAGAGCCUUGCCCGCGUGUCUGUGACGCCCCUAAAUUUGGACCUCCACUUGGUCACUCGAAUUUGUUUCAUCACGUUCUCAUGGUAAUACCAUAAUAACUAAAUGACACGUUCACAACGGAAAAUCUAAUUUAGAAUAAUAUACAAUGAUUUAUUAUAAUUAUUCCCCCAAGUCUCACAACCUACAGUACUUAAUAGAUUACAUAAUAAUAUCGAAUAAAGACUUACUACAAAAUCCUACUUAAGCUUAAACAUAGUCUGAAAAUAGUCUUAAUACAACACAAAAAUUUUAACAUAAAGGAACAGGCUAGUCGGUAGCCUUGCCCUUGCCCUUGUCUGUUCCAGAGACACCUCCCUGUUCCGCCUUAACUGAAAGGUUUUAAAUAAGCAAAGAUGAGCACAAAUUCCCCAACAAGUAAUAUACAACAAGGGUGAAGGAUAUAAUAUCACAAGUUUGAAUUAUCGAAGUAUUAUCUCUAAGAUAGUUCAGAGUUUCAGAAUAAUAUCAUGAAUAGUGAAUAUCAACAAUUCAUCAACAAUUCUUGGAAUAAGAAUGAUAAUUUAAUAUAAAUCAACAGAUAUAUAUAUAUAAAUUCAAAGAUUAUCAAUGUAUCCAACUGGAUAAAAAAUUUAUACUGAGUAGUCACUAAGGACUAUUGAACAUCCACUAGAGUUACCAAUAUUAAACUGAUAUCCCAAAAGAAUCAAGUACUAUAGAUGAUCAAUCUAUAAUACUCUAAGUUAUGCAUAACACCACAAUAAUAUCCCCUCAUGUGUUGGGGUUUCCAACAACAUACACUCCCCUUACCAUAAGAGUUGUUCAACUCAGUUUUCAAGAUUUCCUUACCAAUCAAUUGGUUUGGACAGUUUUAUAAACAUGCAUAUAGUCUAUCCAAAUUAAAUGGCAUCGACUCUUUCAUAAUAUUCAAGAACAAUACCAAGUUAGCAUAAAUAAUAGUUUUCACAAGAGUCUAAACAUACUUGUUCAAUUGAAUGAAUAAGUAGAAUAACUUGCAUUCAAAGAGAUAAGGUUUAGAUACUCUGCUUACGGUAUUCGUUGAAUAAAGUAAUCCAAAGAUACUUGCACAAUAAGAGUAGGGUUCGGAUACUUGCUCAAGUGAAAAAGUAAGAGUUAAGGAACUUGCACAAUCAAAGAGUGAAGUUCAAGGAAACUUGCCUUAAGCGUAGUUUUCCACGUUAAUAAAUCAACACUUUCGAAUCCUAGUAUUGCGUAUUAUAAGUACAAGAUGCUCAUUAGCUAACACAUUCAUUAAUCAAGUUUGACACGAUUCAAGUAUGCACAUAUGGUACAAAUCAGAUUAUAAAUUCAUCAUGAAUCAAAUACCUAGUCAUUUCAUAAGUAAUUUAAGAAUACUCAAGGUUAAGUCCUUUUUACCCAUGGACAUUCCUAUUACGAGGCAAACACCAUCAUAUCAUCUAAGCAUCACUUAUAUACAUGUAUUAGUAGGUUUUAAACUACUUUUAGUAAUAUAGGCUUCACACAAGUUAGCUAUCCAAAGAUCAGAUUUCACUAUCUCAAAUUCAAGACUGGCGCAGCUGCGCCGUCCGCAGGCCAAGCCAAGACUCAAUUGUUGCCUUGAGGUUUAUGUCUGGCAUAAACACAAUAAUCAUAUAUAAUUAUGCUAAAGGUCUUUUCAUGCUUCUCAAGUUAAUCUAGGUUCUUCAUUUCAUCAUAUAAUUCCAAAUUAAUUAUUUCAACAAUUUAAGGCCCUUCAAGGUCAUGAAACCAGAAAGUCUAUUAUGCUUGCUCUCUAAUCAUACAAGGUAGUUACAAUACUCGUAUUAGGCAUGCUUGUGAGUAUUCAUAACGCAUAUGUGAAAUUAACACUGCUUUAGUUGAAAAUAUGCUUCGUUCAUGUUUUUCUUGAAAUAUGAUACACAAGCAUGGUAUAUAUAUGGUUAUGUUACAUGAGUGAGCCUAAGAGUAACAUUAACAUGAUUACAAAUGUCAGAUUCUAACCCUUAAGGUAGUUUGUCAAUAUUCAUGUUCAAAGGUCAUAUUUUUAUUUGUAAAGUGCAUUAAUUCAUUCAACAUGUUCAUGCUCUCUUACGAAUCAUAUAAACAUAAGUUAACGGUUUAUUUAUGCAUUUCUAGAUCAUGCCAACAUGCUUGCAAAGUCAGUACACAAAUAUGUCAUUCAUACUCGUCAAGUUCGUUUCUAAAGUUUCCAAAUUCAUUUUAAUCCACACACUUUCGUUAAUCAUGCUAAUCUAGUAAAACAUGCUCUCCUCAAGUUAAUAUACUGGUAUAUACCCCUUACACAUGCGUACAUGCUAGUUUGAGACAUAACAAUUGACUAACAUUGAUCAAAUUUGAAAAUAGAAAGUCCAAUUGAAAACAGAGACCGGCGCAGCUACGUUGCGCUGCGCCUUAGUGUAAAUCCGGCGCAGCUGCGUCGUCCCUAGUUCAAGCCAUGAACAGUCUACUUCGGUAGAAAGCUAGCCCAACCUUAGAAAUUAUUCAUCAUUUCAAUUCUAACCAGCCAUGUAUCAAUUGCAACAUGCCUAUAUGGUUAUAUAACAACUAUUUAAACAUUACCCAACCUCAUUAACAUAUAAUUCCACAAAAUCAAGAAUUUGUAUUUCAAUACUCACGAACUCUAUUUUGAUAGAGAAUGAAAUGGAAGCAAGGAAAAGGAAUUAUACCUUUGUAAUGUGAAAGAACUUGCUCCUAAUGAACUCCCAAUGUCCUAAAAUCAUUGUAUGCUCUCAACCUCACCCUCAAUGGAAUUCUCAGCAAUGGAAAAAAAUGAAAGGAGAGCUCUCAUUUAUAGAACACUCAAAACCCAGACAAUGACAUUUUCCCCUAAAUCAAACUCAUGGAUGAAAGAAUUGCAUGAAGGGCAAGGAGGAGUUGUUGGAUGUUAGUUGGAUUUCAUCAUGACCACCACUCCCCCCAUGAUCAUUUAGCUAGGAAGCUUGGAAGAAGAAAUAGGCCUUAGCCUUUUUAGUUUAUGCGUGAUUGAGAAAUGAGGCAAAUGGGACACUCAUUUUGGGACACUUCCAACUAACUCAGCCAUUAUGUACACUUAUACAAAUUCCCACUCUUGUGCUAUUUUUCUUAUAUACAUAUUAACUAUACAUUAUAACUUAAUGUCACAAUAUGAUUUAACAUUUCAAGGUAGUAGAUGCUAUGCAACAUCCAUGUACAUUUUUUUUAAUGUAUACCUACCUACACAUUGUCACAUAGAUAUUUUAUAAUGUAUUUAUAACAUAUAGUUCCAAUAUGUUUAAUCACAUUGCUUCAUACAAUAUAGUUUUAUAAGACUUAAUAUAUAGUCACACAAAUGUCACACUGCACUAUAUAGUAUAGUUGUAUUAUUGCUCACAUGCACAUAACCGUCAAUAUAAUCUUAUUAUAUUUAUAACUCACUUAUUUGUUUUAUGUCAAAUAAAUAAUUUAAUCCAUUCUUCCUUAAUUAAUAUUUUUAUGGAUCUCCAUAACCAUUAAUUAUCUAUAUAAUUCUUAUUAUAUUUAUAGACAUAUUGCAAACAAUAAUAAUCACAUAUUAUUAAUUAAUUACCAAGUAAUCAAUAUUCCACCACCAUCAAUUAAUAUUAAUUAAUGGCUUACUUAAUAAUUCCUUCGUCGAACAAAACGCACUUUGUUCCAUGGUUUAUUAAUGUCACAUAUAUCACAUAAUUGUUCCAUUUUAUUUCUAAAGUAGAAAAAUUAAUUUUUCUCCAACUGACCACUGGCGCAGCUGCGCCAGUUCGUACUGCUGGGACGGUACAGCUGCGUCGUACCCUGACAGUGCCAAGACUGGUUUAGCUUCAAUCCAGCGUCAAUUUCCAUCGCCAAACUUGUUUUACUCGACAUAAAUUAAUGUCCACAAGAGAUAUCACCAGUCUAAGAGCGUAUUGAUUACUUAUAUGAAAUCACAUGAUCUUACACGAUUAAUCUUCCUAAUUCUCGUUUUAAUUCGCUUAGUAAAUUUCCUCGUUUCACAUUAUGCCACACAAGGCGUUUCACAAUUCUCAUUGUCAAUUCACAUUUCUUAAUACACAUUGAUCUAAUACGAAUCAAUUGAAUUAAUCGACUCAUAAAACAAUAACACUUAUAUUCACAUAAAUAUUAUUUCCAUUAAUAUAUUCAUUUAAUAAUACGUGGAAAUUCUCGGGUAUUACAUCCUCCCCCCUUAUAAAAAAUCCAUCCCGAAAUUGCUACAAGGUUACACAAAUAGAUGGGGAUAAUUCCUCAUCAUUCUAUCUUCUAAAUCCCAAGUAGCCUCAUCGUGGUUACGCCAAAGUACUUUUACAGAAGAAAUGACUUUGUUCCUUAAAGUUUGCUCCUUCUUAUCUAGAAUUUGGACAGGAAUUUCUUCAUACGCUAAGUUCUUCUCCACUUGAAUGGGUUCAUAAGAAAUCAUGUGUUUGUAGUCGGACUUGUACAGACACAACACGGAUAUGUGAAACACGUUAUGGAUGUGCUCCAACUCAGGUGGUAGUGCAACUUUGUACGCUACUUUGCCCACUCGUUUUAGUAUCUCGAACGGUCCUAUGAAUCUUGGACUCAGUUUUCCUUUCUUGUCGAAACGGAUCUUUCCCUUCCAUGGAGAUACCUUCAGGAAUACAAAACUGGUAAAUUUAAAAUCUCGGUCUUGUCGAUGCAAGUCUGCAUACUUCUUCUGGUGAUCUUGAGCUGCUACUAGUCUGGCUCUUAUCACUGUCACCACAUCCGCGGUUUGUUGUACUAACUCUGGUCCGAGUAUUCGUCAUUCUCCAACUUCGUCCCAAUAUAAUGGCUUUCUGCACUUCCUUCAGUAAAGAGCUUCAUAUGGUGGCAUGCCGAUACUCGCAUGGUAACUAUUAUUAUACGCAAAUUCGACUAAGGGUAGGUGGUCGUCCCAAUUUCCCUUGAAGUCCAUCACGUAAGUCCUAAGCAUGUCCUCUAGCGUUUGUAUUGUUCGCCCAAUCUGUCCAUCUAUCUGAGGGUGAUAUGCGGUACUCAACCUCAACUGUGUUCCCAUCCUCUCUUGCAAGCUUUUCCAGAACUUUAACAUGAAGCGCGGAUCUCGGUUAAAAAUAAUCGAUACCGGCACUCCAUGUCGUGAAAUAAUUUCCAUUACGUACAGACUCGCUAACUGAUUUAAACUGUAGCGGAUCUUGAUCGAUAGAAAAUGUGCGGUCUUCGUAAAUCGAUCCACGAUAACCCAAAUGGCAUCUAAACCUUUCUGCGUGAUUGGAAGUCCUACCAUGAAAUCCAUCGUAAUAUGCUCCCAUUUCCAUUCUGGUAUUUCUAACGGUUGUAGAAAUCCACUCGGCCGCUGAUGCUCCGCUUUGACUCGUUGACACGUAAGACAUCUACUAACGUACUCCGCAAUUUCUCGUUUCAGAUUUGGCCACCAAAAAUGUUGUUUCAAGUCCCGAUACAUCUUCAUGCCUCCAGGAUGAAUGGAAAAUGUCGUAUUAUAUGACUCGUACAAAAUCUCCUCUCUUAACUCGGCUACCGCCGGUACCCACACUCUACCUUCGAAUCUUAAGAUAUCGUUUUUAUCCAUUCAAAAUUUAUCUUCCUCAUUUUAUGUGAUCCUCUUCCUGAUUUUCUCACAUUCUCCAUCUUUCUCCUGUGCUUCUUUUAUUCUAUCCAAUAAUGUCGGACAAGCUUAUAUUAUAAAUAACUUCUCUUCAGACCUCUCGGGUCCCUUUACCUCUAUUUCCAACUUCUCCAUAUCUCUUAUUAACUCCUCCUGAGUUGUUAAUUGCAUCAGUUUCUCCCUUCCUUUUCUGCUCAGAGCGUCGGCAACUACAUUUGCCUUCCCCGGGUGAUAAUGAAUAUCACAGUCAUAAUCUUUGAUCAAUUCUAACCACCUUCUCUGAUGCAUAUUCAACUCCUUUUGUGUGAAGAUAUAUUUCAGACUUUUAUGGUCCAUGUAUAUCUCACAUUUCUCUCCGUACAAAUAAUGUCUCCAUAUCUUUAACGCAAAAACUACUGCCGCUAACUCUAAGUCAUGAGUAGGGUAUCAUUUUUCAUAAUCCUUCAAUUGUCGUGAUGCAUACACAAUGACUUUAUCGUGUUGCAUAAGCACACAACCAAGUCCUCUAUGCGACGCAUCACUAUACACCACAAAUCCUGUCGUAUCAUCUGGUAAUGAUAAUACAGGCACCUCGCUUAAUCUCUUCUUCAAAUCUUGAAAACUUUCUUCGCAUUUGUCGGUCCAUACAAAUUUCAACGUCUUCCUCGUCAAAUUAGUCAACGGGGUCGCUAUCUUAGAAAAAUCCUGGAUAAAUCUUUGAUAGUACCCAGCUAACCCUAAGAAACUUCUCACCUCCGUCGGGGUUCUCGGUUGUUCCCAAUUACUUACUGCUUUGACCUUUUCGGGGUCUAAUGAGAUUCCAUUCUCAUCCACCACGUGGCCUAAGAAUUGAACCUUCUUUAUCCAGAAUUCGCACUUAGAAAAUUUCGCAUACAUCUUCUCCUUUCUUAGUGCCUCCAAAACAAUCUUCAGAUGUUUGGCGUGUUCUUCCUCCAUCUUUGAGUAGAUCAAAAUAUCGUCGAUGAAAACCACCACAAAUUUAUCCAAAUAUGGCUUGAAACUCAAUUCAUCAAGUCCAUGAAUGUUGCCGGAGCAUUAGUCAAACCAAAUGACAUUACCAAAAACUCGUAAUGUCCAUAACGGCUUCAAAACGCAGUCUUUGGUAUGUCCUCAUCCCGCACUUUCAGUUGGUGAUAUCCCAUCCGCAGGUCGAUCUUCGAGAAACACUUCGCUCCUUUCAGUUGAUCAAAUAAGUCAUCUAUCCUUGGUGGCGGAUAUCUGUUCUUGAUUGUUACUCUGUUCGAUUCUCGAUAAUCGAUACAGAGCCUCAUCGAUCUGUCCUUUUUCUUAACGAAUAACACUGGUGAAGGAGACACACUUGGUCAAAUGUAACCCUUAUCCAACAACUCUUGAAGUUGUAUCAUCAAUUCCUUCAUUUCUACUAGCGCCAUAGGAUAUGGAGCUUUCGAAAUCGGUGACGUCCUUGGUGCUAAGUCUAUUACGAAUUCGAUUUCUCUGUCUGGCGAAAGGCCAGGCAGAUCAUCCGGAAACACAUCCUAAAAUUCAUUCACUACGGGUAUAUCUUUAAUCUCUAUUCCCUUUUUCCGAGUAUCCACAAUGUAAGCUAAAUAACCUACACAUCCUUUCUUUAACAUUUUCUUGUCCUGCAUCAUCGUAACGCAACACGAUUGCUUAAGCGAUGAGCUACCAUAAAACACUACCUUAGACUUACUCAGAGUCUGAAGGUUCACACAUUUACUCUGAUAGUCAAUUACUGCUGCAUGGUUAUAUAACCAAUCCAUCCCCAGUAUUACGUCAAAUUCUCCUAGUCUAAUAGGAAUCAAGACUACACUAAGUUCAUGUUCUCUAAUGUUUGCGCGACAAUUUUGAUAGACGUAUUCUACAGGGAUUAUUUCCUUAUUCGUAACUUCUAUGUUCAAAGGAUCUUUUAAACAUUCUCGGGGUGUAUUAAAUUUACUAGCAAAUUCUUCGGAUACAAAAGAACAGGUGGCACCCGAAUCAAAUAAUACAUAAGUAUUUAUAUUAUUCAUUGGGAUUAUACCUGACACCACGUCCUUCGCAUCCACUGCGUCCUAGACGGUCAUGUUAAAGGUUCGAGCGGUCGAUCGGUUGGGUUGUGCAGGUCCACCAAUCAUUAACUUACUUCCUCCUCCCUGGCCUCCACCAGUUCCACUGCUUCCUUUCUUCGGGCAAUCCUUUAUCUGGUACUCUGUUGAUCCACAAGCAAAACAUCUUCUGAUCUUCUUCGGCUUUGGGAAAUUUGGUGAUAUGUGCCCCUCUUGGCCGCAAUUAUAGCAGGUGUUCUUUCUCUUCCAACACUUUCCCUGACGACUUCUUCCACAUUUGUUACAAACUUCAGUCCUUCUCUUGAAGUUUCCCUGGUGACUCCAACCUUGAUUAUUGCUUCUGUUGUUAUUGUUUUCCCAUUUACUCUUUCCGGAGUUACUUCCUCCGCUGCUGCUUCCUCCACGAUGCUCACUACUAGUGUUCUUGUUCUUCUUCUCCUUAUGAUAUGACUUAAGGCCUCACUGCCACCUUCCGCAAUGAUUGCCUUCUCUAACAAUGUCGUAAAGGAAUCAAUUUGGAAGACUAAUACCUUAUUAUACAACCACGGCUUCAACCCUUGCUCGAAGCGUCUCGCCUUUCUUUCCUCAUCCAAAACUUGGUGCUCCGCAAAUCGCGCUAGUUCAUUAAACUUAGUCGCGUAUUGCGCCACCGUCAUAUCACCUUGUUUUAACUCUAGGAACUUCACUUCCAUCCUACUCUUUGGGAAAUAGUUCUCGAAGAACAACGUAGUAAACCUCUCCCAUGUUAUCGUUCCUUCUCCCGCUCUCUGCUGAUUAGUUUCCCACUAAUAGUUCGCUUCUCCCCUCAUCAUGUAUGUGGCAAAUACUGUCUUUUGGUCUUCACCCACGCGAGCUAUAGUGAAGGCCUUCUCGAUCUCCUUGAUCCAGGUUUGCGCAACUAUCGGGUCAGUGGUUCCCUUGAACUCCGGGGGUCCUACACUCUUAAAAUCUUUGAAGGUUGUUACUGGGACAGCUUGGGGAACGGGUGGUAAGGGUUCGUUUCUUCCCCUCAGAGCUUCUCCCAAUAAAUCUACCAGUCUCUGUAUCGGAUCUACUGGACCUCUCUCAUCAUUAACUGACUAUUCUAGGACAGUUAUUCUACGUCUGGGCGGUAUUUUCUGCAUCACAAAAUUUUUCAUUUUAUUAUCUAAUUAUCAUAUUUAGACAUUUCUCAAUAGAAAAGAACUACAAGUUUACAACACGUUUCUGAAAUAAGAUCAUUUAUAUUCAUAUGCCAAAUGGUUACAUUACAUGUUCUUUUCUAGCAUACUGCUAUAAAUGAUAUCACAAAUCCCCUAUUAUCACAAAAGACGGGGACAACACCAUCUUACUACCCCUCAAACAUUUUUCAAAAGUUGGGGUUUUACUACUACCUCACGUCAUACACAAAAGACUGAGAUUACAACAACAUAUUAAACAACACCAUAUCUCGACUUAUGGUAUACCGGGUCUGUCCUUGCUCAGCUGGGUAAUGAUUUACCCCAUUGAUCAAUCUCUCCAUGGUCGUACGUAGAGCAUAGCCCAUCUUGUUCAUCUUCCUCCUUUUGCACCGCAGCUCGUCUUCUAGAUCAUCUACCCUAUCAUUGGUUUCCUCCCACUUCUCCUCAAAGUGAAUCCUAUCCAUCACCUCCAUCUCUAACUGAGUUCAAAGAGCCUCCUUCUCCAUCCUCUCACUCAAAACCUUCUGCUCUAAUUCCUCCAGCUUUCCUGCCAUCUCAACAUUUCUCGCCACCGCUCGGUGAAACAAAGCUCCCAUCUAGAUCCCUGCCUCCUUACGGUGAGCAAUUUCCACCUCCAUUUCUUGCAUCGUCAAUUUUCCCUGAUGGUCCUCGUCCCUCAACUUCUGGAACGCGGAAUCCCUCUCCUUAGCCAUAGCUUCAAGCUCCUCUACUCUACAUCCUAAUUCCAAAAUUUGCUCUUCAUACUCCCCUAGCAUUCGAUCCUCAAAAGUGGCCUCGUCGGAGUCCUCCAAAGGCUCGGGCUCCUCCUCCAAAGGCUUCUCCUCCGGAUCAGACUCCACCUCUUCCUCAUCGUCAUCGUCAUCGUUCGGGACCACUACUGAUAUAGGUUCUGCUAUCAAUGGUGCCUCAUAGACUACGUGGAUAUCACACGGCUCCUCCUCUACUACUCGGCUAGGUCCUCCCAUGUCAGUCAUCCUAUAAUCACCAACAUAAGACAACACAAACAACAACUCCAUUAGAAUAUUAAAUAAACAUAAGUUCAUUAUAUAGAAUGAAGUUACAUUUCAUAACACACUAAGUUUCUCAAGGAAAACUCUACAUGAGUUUUAUCUCCAUACUAACUUCUAAGUUCUCCUAAGUUAUAAUCUAAGGACACUCGCUCCUAAGGUUUAUAACUACGGCUUUGAUACCAACCUGUGACGCCCCUAAAUUCGGACCUCCACUUGGUCACUCGAAUUUGGUUCAUCGCGUUCUCAUUGUAAUACCAUAAUAACUAAAUGACACGUUCACAACGAAAAAUCUAAUUUAGAAUAAUAUACAAUGAUUUAUUAUAAUUAUUCCCCCAAGUCUCGCAACCUACAGUACUUAAUAGAUUAUAUAAUAAGAUCGAAUAAAGACUUAUUACAUAAUCCUACUUAAGCGUAAACAUAGUCUGAAAACAGUCUUAAUACAACAUAGAAAUUUUAACAUAAAGGAAUAGGCUAGUCGGUAGCCUUGCCCUUGCCCUUGUCUGUUUCAGAGACACCUCCCUGUUCCGCCUUAACUGAAAGGUUUUAAAUAAGCAAGGAUGAGCACAAAUUGCCCAACAAGUAAUAUACAACAAGGUGAAGGAUAUAAUAUCACAAGUUUGAUUAUCGAAGUAUCAUCUCUAAGAUAGUUCAAAGUUUCAAAAUAAUAUCACGAAUAGUGAAUAUCAACAAUUCUUGGAAUAAGAAUGAAAAUUCAAUAUAAAUCAACAGAUAUAUAUGAAUUCAAAGACUAUCAAUGUAUCCAACUGAUAAACAAUUUAUACUGAGUAGUCACUAAGGACUAUUAAACAUCCACUAGAGUUACCAAUAUUAAACUGAUAUCCUAAAAGAAUCAAGUACUAUAGAUGAUCAAUCUAUAAUACUCUAAGUUAUGCAUAACACCACAAUAAUAUCCCCUCAUGUGUUGGGGUUUCCAACAACAUACACUCCCCUUACCAUAAGGGUUGAUCAACUCAGUUUUCAAGAUUUCCUUACCAAUCAAUUGGUUUGGACAGUUUUAUAAACAUGCAUAUAGUCUAGCCGAAUCAAAUGGCAUCGACUCUUUCACAAUAUUCAAGAACAAUACCAAGUUUAACAUGAAUAAUAGUUUUCACAAGAGUCUAAACAUACUUGUUCAAUUGAAUGAAUAAGUAGAAUAACUUGCAUUCAAAGAGAUAAGGUUUAGAUACUCUGCUUACGGUAUUCGUUGAAUAAAGUAAUGCAAAGAUACUUGCACAAUAAGAGUAGGGUUCGGAUACUUGCUCAAGUGAAAGAGUAAGAGUUAAGGAACUUGCACAAUCAAAGAGUGAAGUUCAAGGAAACUUGCCUUAAGCGUAGUUUAUCCACGUUAAUAAAUAAACACUUUUGAAUCCUAGUAUAGCGUAUUAUAAGUACAAGAUGCUCAUUAGCUAACACAUUCAUUAAUCAAGUUUGACACGAUUCAAGUAUGCACAUAUGGUACAAAUUAGAUUAUAAAUUCAUCAUGAAUCAAAUACCUAGUCAUUUCAUAAGUAAUUUAAGAAUACUCAAGGUUAAGUCCUUUUUAUCCAUGGACCCUCCUAUUACAAGGCAAACACCAUCAUAUCAUCUAAGCAUAACUUAUAUACAUGUAUCAGUAGGUUUUAAACUACAUUUAGUAAUAUAGGCUUCACAUAAGUUAGCUGUCCAAAGAUCAGAUUUCACUAUCUCAGAUUCCAGACUGGCGCAGCUGCGCCAUGGCUAAGCCUAGGAACAGCGCAGCUGCACCAUCCUCUGUCCAAGCCAAGACUCAGAUGUUGCCUUGAGGUUUCUGUCCAGCAUAAACACAACAAUCAUAUAUAAUCGUGCUAAAGGUCUUUUCAUGCUUCUCAAGUCAAUCUAGGUUCUUCAUUUCAUCAUAUAAUUCCAAAUUAAUUAUUUUAACAAUUUAAUGCCCUUCAAGGUCAUGAAACCACAAAGUCUAUCAUGCUUGCUCUCUAAUCAUACAUGGUAGUUACAAUACUCGUAUUAGGCAUGCUUAUGAGUAUUCAUAACGCAUAUGUGAAAUUAACACCGCUUUAGUUGAAAAUAUGCUUCGUUCAUGCUUUUCUUGAAAUAUGAUACACAAGCAUGGUAUAUAUAUGGUUAUAUUACAUGAGUGAGCCUAAGAGUAACAUUAACAUGAUUACAAAUGUCAGAUUCUAACCCUCAAGGUAGUUUGUCAAUAUUCAUGUUCAAAGGUCAUAUUUUCAUUUGUAAAGUGCACUAAUUCGUUCAACAUGUUCAUGCUCUCUUACGAAUCAUAUAAACAUAAGUUAAUGGUUUAUUUAUGCAUUUCUAGAUCAUGCCAACAUGCUUGCAAAGUCAGUACAUAAAUAUGUCAUUCAUACUCAUCAAGUUCGUUUCUAAAGUUCCCAAAUUCAUUUUAAUCCACACACUUUCGUUAAUCAUGCUAAUCUAGUAAAACAUGCUCUCCUCAAGUUAAUUUACUGGUAUAUACCCCUUACACAUGCGUACAUGCUAGCCUGAGCCAUAAAGAUUGACUAACAUUCAUCAGAUUUGAAAAUAGAAACUCCAACUAAAAACAAAGACCGGCGUAGCUGCGCUGCGCCUUAGUGUAAAUCUGGCACAGCUGCGCCGUGCCUGGUUUGAGCCAAGAACAGUCUGCUUCGGCAGAAAGCUAGCCCAACCUUAGAAAUUAUUCAUCAUUUCGAUUCUAACCAGUUAUGUAUCAAUUGCAACAUGCUUAUAUGGUUAUAUAACAACUAUUUAAACAUUACCCAACCUCAUUAACAUACAAUUCCACAAAAUCAAGAAUUUGUAUUUCAAUACUCAUGAACUCUGUUUUGACAGAGAAUGAAAUGGAAGCAAGGAAAAGGAAUUAUACCUUUGUAAUGUGAAAGAACUUGCUCCUAAUGAACUGCCAAUGUCCUAAAAUGCUUGUAUGCUCUCAACCUCACCCUCAAUGGAAUUCUCAGUAAUGAAAAAAAAUGAAAGGAGAGCUCUCAUUUAUAGAACACUCAAAACCCAGACAAUGACAUUUUCCCCUAAAUCAAACUCAUGGAUGAAAGAAUUGUAUGAAGGGCAAGGAGGAGUUGUUGGAUGUUAGUUGGAUUUCAUCAUGACCACCACUCCUCCCAUGAUCAUUUAGCUAGGAAGCUUGGAAGAAGAAAUAGGCCUUAGCCUUUUUGGUUUAUACGUGACUGAGAAAUGAGGCAAAUGGGACACUCAUUUUGGGACACUUCAACUAACUCAUCCAUCAUGUACACUUAUACAAAUUCCCACUCUUGUGCUAUUUUUCUUAUAUACAUAUCAAUUAUAUAUUAUAACUUUAUGUCACAAUAUGAUUUAACAUUUCAAAGUAGUAGAUGCUAUGCAACAUUCAUGUACAUUUUAUUUUAAUGUAUACCUACUGUAAGACCCCGAAUUUUAUGAAAUGAAAGUAUUCAAUUUUCUUAUGAUUAUUAUUUUAUUUCGUAAAUGGUUAAAUUGAUAAAAGGUUAAAGUUAAGGUUAAUAUGUGAAAAUUUUGUAAAGUAUGCAAGUUGUUAUAAAAUAUUCGAUUGGUCGGGGAAUAUUCUUUUUGUCGGAGAAUAUUCGUACGACGGCACAAUCAUUGGUGGACCGCACAACUGAAGUAUUGUCGUAUUUAGAAAAUGACAGAAUUAUCUUUUUAUAAAAAUAACGGCGAAAGUUUUACCGUUAAACUGUUGAACUACCCGGUAGUAAAAAUACAGUAAUACGCGUGGUUGCAUAGUAGCACACGGUAUUGAUUAUUGAUGCUUACAUAAGAAGUCACUCAGUUAUACUCAAUUAUUGUUACAGUAAUUGUUGCAUCAUAUCUCUCAUAUUAUUGAUUCAAUUAUUGUCACAGUAUCAUCUGUAUAAUAUAUUAUAUUAUUAAAUCAAUAAUUGACAUGACAAAGUUAUUCAUAUUAUUAUUUGUAAUAUUGACAAUGUCUAGAAGUUCUGUCAAUGAGAGGUUAGAUAAUCUAAUUGCGUGCCAAUAGGGAGAAAUCCUAAUCAGAAAACCCCCUCUUUCUUGGGAACGACCUGGUUGUUAAAUAUUAUGAAUUAUAAUAUUAAUGAUGAAUAAGUUCAUGUUGAUUAAAGAUGAAAUUGAUAGUUUCAUUGUGUUGAAAUUAUUAGUGUUAGUGAAAAUCGACAUUUAUUUCGAUAAUAAUUGAUGUCUGGAGGUUAUAUUAACCAAUCGGAUAAUUAACCGGAUAAAUGAGCAAUUAAUUUCUAUUAAUUCACAUAAUUAUAACUAUUUGUUCACAUGUGUGUACUAUUGAUUCACAUUCAUUUACUAUUAGGGGGGUUGGUGCAAGAUUUAUAAUACUUGCAUGACUAAGUUAAAAAUGGAGGUAUAAAUGGAGGUACUAUACUGUAAUUCGUAUUUUCACAUGAUUAGAACUAUUGAGUCACAUGAUUUACUAUUGAUUCACAUGAUUUACUAUUAGGGGAGGUGGUGCAAGUUUGAUAAUACUUGCAGGACUAAAUUAAAAAUGAAGGAAAAGAGGAAGGUAUUAUACUGUAAUAUUUNNNNNNNNNNNNNNNNNNNNNNNNNNNNNNNNNNNNNNNNNNNNNNNNNNNNNNNNNNNNNNNNNNNNNNNNNNNNNNNNNNNNNNNNNNNNNNNNNNNNNNNNNNNNNNNNNNNNNNNNNNNNNNNNNNNNNNNNNNNNNNNNNNNNNNNNNNNNNNNNNNNNNNNNNNNNNNNNNNNNNNNNNNNNNNNNNNNNNNNNNNNNNNNNNNNNNNNNNNNNNNNNNNNNNNNNNNNNNNNNNNNNNNNNNNNNNNNNNNNNNNNNNNNNNNNNNNNNNNNNNNNNNNNNNNNNNNNNNNNNNNNNNNNNNNNNNNNNNNNNNNNNNNNNNNNNNNNNNNNNNNNNNNNNNNNNNNNNNNNNNNNNNNNNNNNNNNNNNNNNNNNNNNNNNNNNNNNNNNNNNNNNNNNNNNNNNNNNNNNNNNNNNNNNNNNNNNNNNNNNNNNNNNNNNNNNNNNNNNNNNNNNNNNNNNNNNNNNNNNNNNNNNNNNNNNNNNNNNNNNNNNNNNNNNNNNNNNNNNNNNNNNNNNNNNNNNNNNNNNNNNNNNNNNNNNNNNNNNNNNNNNNNNNNNNNNNNNNNNNNNNNNNNNNNNNNNNNNNNNNNNNNNNNNNNNNNNNAAAGUCAUCUUUGGCUUACGUGCAUAGAUGGACUUGGUAUGAUUAUGACCAGGGAUUAUUCGGUAUAAUCAUGACCGUAAUGUGACGAAUGAUGUGGUAAAAGUCCUCAUUGGCCUGUAGUUCAUUGAUGGACAUUUGUUGGUAUGAUUAUGACCAGGGAUUAUUCGGUAUAAUCAUGACCAUUGAUGAUUACAUGAAUAUCCUUGGUCGUGGUGCAGGGAUGAUGUGGUUUAUUUAUUAAGUUGAGUCUCAGCAAUAAAGUUGAUGAAAAUCUUUUUAAAUCAUAGAAGAUAGUAGAUUUUAUGCUCUACUUGGCUCUUCUAAUGGAUUGCUUAUUCCGCUGCAGUUGUUGAUCUAAAACUUGUUGUCUAUUAUAUUCUAUCAGUUGUUAUACUGUUGAAAGCUAAGGAUAAUUUAUUCUGCAUUAUCUUAGUCAUAAUAUUUCUUACUGGGCUAGUUGAGCUCACCCUUUGCUUUCAUUGUUCUCUUCAGAAAAUGAGAAUAUAGCUGGGACGAGUCGGGGAACGGAGUGACGGUCCAGAUGAUAGCAUUAGUAGUCCUCACUAUUCUGUUAAAUAGCGUGACAAUAAAUGUAAUGAGGACUCCACUGAGUGUGGAUAUUGUCUAGAUGACAAUAUUCUUAUUAAAACUCUCAGUUUAUGUUUUUGUCGUAUUUUACACGACAAUUGUAUUAUUAAGUUGUAUUUGAAUUUUGUACCAUAUAUUUGGCGAUUCAAGAUGGGUGAUGUAUUUGAAUUUUGUACCAUAGUUUUCUACACAUUAUUAGUAAUGUUUCAUAAAUAUACAUAGAGAAUAGAAAUAUAACAAUUAAUAAUAAGGGUAUUAUAUGUAAAUUAUUAAAAAAAUAAAUCAUUUAAGAUAAAUAGAUAUUUAACUUGAGAUUAUCUGAAAUAGUAAUAAAGACUUUAAUUCUGAGACGAAAAGACUAAUAGGAAUAGAUUGUGAAGAGGAUGGCCGGUUGAGAAGUUUGAGUAAGAAAUUUGAUUGAAUUGUUUUAGAAAGUUUUCACCAUAGCGGUUGUUGGCGCAACUCUACGUUUUAUAAAUUACUUACAGAUAAUAUUUGAAUUUUAGUAUUGACAUAAGUGCGGUGAAAGUUCCUUCGUAUAUUUGUGAUUGUUGUAGGCGUUUUUGUCAAAAUUUAAAAUACUUUUACUUACAUCCCACUUUAUAAAAAUAAAAUAAAAUAAAAAGUGUUUUAAGGACUUUUACUAAUGUUGAAGACUUGGAAUAAGAAAAUUUUAUUCAUGGAAUGAGCUACUGCCUACUGUUGGUCAUAGAAAGACAUAAAAAUUCUUGUUGAAAAUCUUUAACCCCCAGUUCUUUCUUUUUUGUUUUAUUUUUUGAAAUCCUUUCUAUUUUUAUCUUAAAACUUUAUAUAAAUGUAAGUUGCUCUUGUUUAAACCAGUUUUAACAAUUUGACUUAUCUAAUUAAAAAGAGUAGACCCCACAUAAAAACAUUCCACAUCAUUUUAAUAUUCACUUAAUUUGGCCAUCACAAAUAAUUCAUACCAAUUUUCUCUUUCAUCAUGUACAAUCACAGCUACAUAAUGAAUCUGAAUGGGGAAAGAAACCAUCACAAUAAAUAUUAGAAAGAUGCCUAAAAUACAACUCAAAUUCAAACUCUAUUUUAAAACUAUUAAUAAAAAUUAGAUCAUUAGCCACCACGAGCAACCACCGACUUAAAAAGAUGGAUUUUUAAAGAAUAAACCCUAGAUAUUCAAAUGUCUGAUCUCUAAAAAUUAUAAGCUCAAUAAAAUUAUGGAACUUUACCUUCCGAUCUGUUUGCUAUGGUUUCGUUGCGAAGACCUUCCGAUAAGCUCUUCUGUCUACUACUUCAUCGUGUGAGAGAGGGAGGGAAGAAGUUGGAGAGAGAAAGUAGUCUUGUGUAUGAUAUGAGCUCUCAUUUGAGAAAGAGUGAAACCUGCGUAUUUUUUUUCCAAUUUGACCUGUACCGCUCAACCCGCGUAUUUUUGGCCCAAUUCAUCUUUAGUCCGUGAGUUUAGUUCGCU